rnacentral:tRNA from 1 species
CGGGGCGUAGCGAAGCCUGGUUAUCGCGCGGCUUUUGGGGAGCCGAGACCGCUGGUUCGAAUCCAGCCGCCCCGA